rnacentral:rRNA from 1 species
AACGAACGCUGGCGGCAUGCCUAACACAUGCAAGUCGAGCGCCCGUAGCAAUACGGGAGCGGCGCACGGGUGAGUAGCGCGUGGGAACCUGCCCAGAGGUUCGGGACAACCGCGGGAAACUGCGGCUGAUACCGGAUGAUGCCUGAGGGCCAAAGAUUUAUCGCCUUUGGAGGGCCGCGUCGGAUUAGGUAGUUGGUGAGGUAACGGCUCACCAAGCCUGUGAUCCGAGCUGGUCUGAGAGGAUGAUCAGCCACACUGGGACGUGAGACACGGCCCAGACUCCUACGGGAGGCAGCAGUGGGGAGUAUUGGACAAUGGGCGCAAGCCUGAUCCAGCGAUGCCGCGUGUGUGAAGAAGGCCUGCGGGUUGUAAAGCACUUUCAGUAGGGAAGAAAAGCCGAGUGCUAAUAUCACUCGGUCUUG